CAGAGCAUGAAGUGCAGCAAGGUGAUGGUGAUGGUGAAGUGCAGCAAAUAGAUGGUGCUGAGGCUGAGGCCAAUAAUCAGGGUGGAGGAUCUACUAGAUUUGAAGGUCGUCUAGAUGAACUUAUAAGAAACAUGAGGCAAGCCAACAUUGUUGUAGAUGAAGAUGAGGAGGAAGAUGAAGAUGACACUAUAAUGGAAUAUUUGAGUGAUGGUGACAAUGAAAACGCUGAUGAUGUCAUGUGCCAAGAUGCUGACAGCGAUGAUGAUCUCUGAAACUGCUAGAACCAACAAAUGGUCAGCAAUACUUCCAUUGGGGUACUCUCAGUUAUGACAAUAUUUUCAAAUAAUUGUGUGUUGUGCCACUCCACUAUGUACCCUGAAAUCAGUUAUUUGUGUGCUUGAAUUCUUAUUUUGCUAGUGAGCUAAUCCAUGCUUGUCAAAUCAUGUAUUUAUGCUGUAAUUAUCCAUCUUCUUUUACUAACAUUCUGAUUAAUGCUACAGAACAAGAGGCAAGAUGGAUCAGGUUGUACUGGUGCAACUGUUGACUUCCUAAACAUUGCAGUGAGAUGGGUGCUUGGUGGUCAAGUAUCUAAAGCGAAAAGGAAAGGGAGAUUCUGUUCUUGCAAGAAUCCUGAGGAGACUAGGAUGGCGAUCCAAGAUUUGAAAUGUUUUCAUUUUCAUUUUUUUUUCUUUUUGGAGAAUUUUGGUUGUUCGUAAAUUACAGUUUUAUACAAUGUAAGGGGAACAUAUAUACAGCAAGUGAAUUGCAGUUGCUUGCUGGUUCAUGACAAAUGAAACAUUUCAAGAAGCUAUGCUUCAAACCAUUGCAUUCAGAGUGCAUCAUAUGGUCUGAAACAUCACUGUUAAGUACUAAAGAUCGGUUAGAAUUUCCAUACAUGAUCUGUUGCUGAAACAGUCAUUCAUUCCUGCGUAUAGAGGUACAGACAAAAAGAAAAUCAUUCCAAUUCUGUAUAAGUAAACAACGGGAUGCCUUCAAUCGACAUUACUUGAAGUAGUGUGGUGGUGAGGACCUUUGUUUCAGAGCCUGGUGACCAGGG
rnacentral:lncRNA from 1 species